UACGGAGGGUGCAAGCGUUAAUCGGAAUUACUGGGCGUAAAGCGUGCGUAGGCGGUUCGUUAAGUCUGUUGUGAAAGCCCCGGGCUCAACCUGGGAAUGGCAAUGGAUACUGGCGAGCUAGAGUGUGUCAGAGGAUGGUGGAAUUCCCGGUGUAGCGGUGAAAUGCGUAGAUAUCUGGAGGAACACCGAUGGCGAAGGCAGCCCCCUGGGCUAACACUGACGCUGAUGCACGAAAGCGUGGGGAGCAAACAGG
rnacentral:rRNA from 1 species